rnacentral:rRNA from 1 species
UACGUAGGGGGCAAGCGUUGUCCGGAUUUACUGGGCGUAAAGCGCCUGUAGGCGGCUUGUCAAGUCCGGCCUGAAAGCCCCCGGCUCAACCGGGGGAGGGUGGCUGGAAACUGGCAGGCUUGAGGGCGAGAGAGGAGGGUGGAAUUCCUGGUGUAGCGGUGAAAUGCGUAGAGAUCAUGAGGAAGACCAGGUGGCGAAGGCGGGUCUCUGGACAGUUCCUGGACACUG